rnacentral:rRNA from 1 species
UGCAGUCGAGCGGCAGCACGGGGAGCUUGCUCCCUGGUGGCGAGCGGCGGACGGGUGAGUAAUGCAUAGGAAUCUGCCCGGUAGUGGGGGAUAACGUGGGGAAACCCACGCUAAUACCGCAUACGUCCUACGGGAGAAAGCGGAGGAUCUUCGGACUUCGCGCUAUCGGAUGAGCCUAUGUCGGAUUAGCUAGUUGGUAAGGUAACGGCUUACCAAGGCAACGAUCCGUAGCUGGUCUGAGAGGAUGAUCAGCCACACUGGGACUGAGACACGGCCCAGACUCCUACGGGAGGCAGCAGUGGGGAAUAUUGGACAAUGGGCGAAAGCCUGAUCCAGCCAUGCCGCGUGUGUGAAGAAGGCUUUCGGGUUGUAAAGCACUUUCAGCGAGGAAGAAAGCCUCUGGGUUAAUACCCCAGAGGAAGGACAUCACUCGCAGAAGAAGCACCGGCUAACUCCGUGCCAGCAGCCGCGGUAAUACGGAGGGUGCGAGCGUUAAUCGGAAUUACUGGGCGUAAAGCGCGCGUAGGUGGCUUGGCACGCCGGUUGUGAAAGCCCCGGGCUCAACCUGGGAACUGCAUCCGGAACGGCCAGGCUAGAGUGCAGGAGAGGAAGGUAGAAUUCCCGGUGUAGCGGUGAAAUGCGUAGAGAUCGGGAGGAAUACCAGUGGCGAAGGCGGCCUUCUGGCCUGACACUGACACUGAGGUGCGAAAGCGUGGGUAGCAAACAGGAUUAGAUACCCUGGUAGUCCACGCCGUAAACGAUGUCGACUAGCCGUUGGGACCUUUAAGGACUUAGUGGCGCAGUUAACGCGAUAAGUCGACCGCCUGGGGAGUACGGCCGCAAGGUUAAAACUCAAAUGAAUUGACGGGGGCCCGCACAAGCGGUGGAGCAUGUGGUUUAAUUCGAUGCAACGCGAAGAACCUUACCUACCCUUGACAUCCAGAGAAGUUGGCAGAGAUGCCUUCGUGCCUUCGGGAACUCUGAGACAGGUGCUGCAUGGCUGUCGUCAGCUCGUGUUGUGAAAUGUUGGGUUAAGUCCCGUAACGAGCGCAACCCUUGUCCUUAUUUGCCAGCGAGUAAUGUCGGGAACUCUAAGG